rnacentral:rRNA from 1 species
CGUUCUCAGUUCGGAUCGGAGUCUGCAACCCGACUCCGUGAAGCUGGAUUCGCUAGUAAUCGCGCAUCAGCCAUGGCGCGGUGAAUACGUUCCCGGGCCUUGUACACACCGCCCGUCAAGCCAUGGAAGCCGGGGGCGCUUGAAGUGCGUUGCCGCAAGGCGCGCCCUAGAGCGAAACCGGUGACUGGGGCUAAGUCGUAACAAGGUACC